CAGCCGCCGCGGUAAAACGAAGGGUGCAAGCGUUACUCGGAAUUACUGGGCGUAAAGCGUGUGUAGGUGGUUGUUUAAGUCUGUCGUGAAAGCCCUGGGCUCAACCUGGGAAUUGCGAUGGAUACUGGGCGACUAGAGUGCGGUAGAGGAUAGUGGAAUUUCCGGUGUAGCAGUGAAAUGCGUAGAGAUCGGAAGGAACAUCUGUGGCGAAGGCGACUAUCUGGGCCAACACUGACACUGAGGCACGAAAGCGUGGGGAGCAAACAGGAUUAGAUACCCGCGUAGUCCCUGUCUCUUAUAC
rnacentral:rRNA from 1 species